rnacentral:lncRNA from 1 species
ACCACCAAUCGUUCUUCUUUUUUACCCACCACAGCCGUUCUUGUUUUUCACCUCACUGGUCCUUUACGCAAUAGGCACCGCCGUCAACACGUCCGGCCACCUUAAACCCCUACUCUGUCACCAUCACCAAGACCCCCUUCGUAGAUCGACCUUUGCCUCCCAACUCCCUCCUCACCGAUUUUGUUGGUCACACCCCUACUUCACCGGUCCAUUCUACACGAACCACAACCCACUUCGUCAGUCUCAACGCGCAUAGACCCUUACUUUUACCACCUUCGAACCCCUCCCCUUCCCCUUUUUCCUCUCAUCCACACCAACCCCGAUCUACUCCCUCUACACGUCACUACUUCUCCAGCUACCAAUCGCAACCCUUCUUCCACUCCUUUUCUUUUCAUACCCGCCGAUCAUUUUCUUCUAUUGACCAGCACUUCCGGCGGGUGUACCAUCGUCGUACACCUACGAAAGCCCUCACUGUUUGGCUCCUCCCCUUAUUUAUUAUUAUAUAUUUUUUAUUAUUACUAUUAUUACUAAUAUUAUUAUUCUAUUUAUUAUAUGUUGUUAUUAUUAUUUGUUUAGUUAGAUUUCAUCAUUGUUAGUUUUUUUUAUUGUUAUUAUCAUUUAUUAGGUUUUAUUUUAUUUUUAUUACUACUUUGUUAUUACUAUUUAUAUUAUGUUGAUUAUACUACUAUUAGCUUAGAGCUCGCUAUUUUAGCUUAGGUUUUAUUUUGGGUUCAGUGGUGAUUGUGUAUUUUAUUAGACUAAGGCAAUUGUGUUAUCUAAUAUAAUAAUUUGUUCUCUUGCUCGAUUAGUUGUUGCUUUUGUUGGUUUUUCUGAUUAUCUAAUAUUGGAUCAUGAUAUUUUAUUUCAAGCACAUCAUGACAAACACGAGAGGCAAAUCUAAGGUUCCUAUUCCCGUUUCAAAUAAGUGGAAGGCACUAGGUGCGACUUCGUCCACAGCCCCUCCUCAGUCAUGAGACAUCUGGGUCUCCAAUCACUUUCAGGUCUCCAUGAGGACCAAUAUCAACAUUUGAAGGUGCAACCAUUGGGUUUAGGUCAUUGGCUAGAUUAAGAGGCAUUAGAGGCAAUCCAUUUGGCUGAUCGGGUUCAGGCCCUCAUCGACAUAGCUCCAAGGGAUCGAUUUUUCACCAGCAUCGAGCCAACUUAUUCAGAACUCUCAUAAGAGUUCUAUUCGACAUUCCCUUUAUAGCAAGUUAUGUCAUAGUGGGAUGAGCCACACACUGUUUCCUUCAGAAUUAGUGGUACGACGCGUUAUCUAAGCAUCUCAGGUUUUGAAGCCACACGUGGACUCUAUUCCAAUGAGUUCAUAAGUAUUGAAGGGUUCCCCACAUUAUACCAACACAUCCAUCAUUUACAUUCCUUCUAUUGGAUUAACAUUGCUAUGACUGCGACACUAUAUAACCCGAGUUAGUCGAAGGAGACUUCUCUACCUUCGGCACUAUGCUACAUCCACGCUAUUUUGGCAUACACAUUGACUGGACAGAAGGACAACACCAAGGUCGUUGGUAUUUAUGAUGCACACUUUCUUUGGAGCACGGCGAUGCGACCCCAAUUUGAUCUUUCUUUGGAGCACAGCGAUGCGGCCCCAAUUUGAUCUUGCAUAUUUCAUUGCACUAUCUUUUUGCCACCAAUCUCACCGUAGUAGGAAAGGUCCUGUCUGUUUGGACCUUUAUGUGAGUCGCCUAGGGAGGUAUUUUGGCCUCCUUCUUUACAUUGGUUGGGCAGAUGAUCCCGCAAGGAUUGUCGAUUAUGAGUCAUAUGAGGAUGAUUGAGCGACGGGAUAGAGUGUGUCCCCAUCAAUAUACAUUAUCUCAUUCCAAUCAUUAAGAUGAGCAUGAGGAGUUUCCCGAUGAUGAUCCACCUCACAAUGUAGAAUUACCUCGUUCUCAGCCUCUGAGUCACCCUACUACCUACUAUGCUGCUACGCUCGAGGACCUUUCCAAGCGGUCUGAUCGCUUUGAGUAGUAAUGCUUUGAGUGAUUCGAUAGCAUUGACGUGACUUUUCAUCUCAUUCGUCAGCAUUUUCAUAUUUCCCAUUUUGAUUGUGCAUCCCACAAUCCUGCCGUCUCUCACGAUGAUGAUCACUGAUCUAUUUUGUUUUAUUUGCUUUGUUAAUAUUAUUUUCAGUUGUACCUUUAUUUUUAUUUUAAUUUGUGAGACUUCUUUAUUUUUCUUUUUCUUUUCAACUAUGUUAUUUUUUUAUUAUAUUAAUGGUUGUUUUCAUUCAAGUU